AACUUUCAACAACGGAUCUCUUGGUUCUGGCAUCGAUGAAGAACGCAGCAAAAUGCGAUAAGUAAUGUGAAUUGCAGAAUUCAGUGAAUCAUCGAAUCUUUGAACGCACAUUGCGCCCGCCAGUAUUCUGGCGGGC
rnacentral:rRNA from 1 species